rnacentral:misc_RNA from 1 species
AAGUCGUAACAAGGUUUCCGUAGGUGAACCUGCGGAAGGAUCAUUACAAGAAGAGACCCUAACCGGUCCUCUCAACCCUGCCCAUCGUACCUUUUUUGUUGUUCCCUCGGCGGUGCUCGCGGGCCCGCCGGCGGGAAGACCAAACAAACCCUUUGCAAACAAGCAUAUCGAAUCUCUGAUCAAACAUGAAUUGUCACAACUUUCAACAAUGGAUCUCUUGGUUCUG